UUUGCAACCCCCACUCCCCUUGGGUGAUAAAACUGUGGCCUACCAGAUCCUCAGAUCCCCUGGCAGAGCUUCCUUGCCUGCUUGCUUGCAUCACUCACAAGCGUCCUACCCUAAAAAAAUCUGUUUCUUGCCUAUCACUUUGUCCCUCGCUGAGUUCCUUCUGCAUGGAGGCAUAAAGAGGCUGAGCCUUGGUUGAGUCCAGACACAGGGCAGAUUAAGUGGAUUUGUGCGAAUGGUUGGUGAAAACCUAAAAGAACUGUGUAAACUUGUCCUGAGCCUUCUUGCCCCUUCACAUCCACAAUCUGCCGUUCUCCACCUGCUUCGUGCCUGAGGAACUGAGCCACAUGCAGCACUUCAACAAGGCUCCAUCGUCCUGUGAUUUUCAGCCAGCCGAUGGGAAGCACCAGUCAAAGAUGAUAAUUCAAAACAAAUGGUCAAAUGAAAGAAUGGUUAAAGCCAGAAUUUGAAGAGCUGAGAACUCCAGGACUUUCAUGGGGACUCUGAUUUCCCACAUUCUUCCUUAAUUGAUCAGCAUCAAAUUUCUUACAAGAUAAUUAGGUCAAAAUAUCUGUAUAGACACAAAUUCUUGAAUGGCAACCUGCGGAGCUCUAUGGACCCACUCCGCAAAAUGACUUUGUUGGUGAAAAUUAUUGAAACAAUAACAAUGUAAAGUCUAUUGAAAAUGUCUGAUGGUCAUACCAUAAGUAAGAAAUAUUUAUUCAAGACAAUUUAAUAAAUAUUGAUAAAAGUGC